rnacentral:lncRNA from 1 species
UCCAGGAACCUGACCUUUCAGGUGCCGGUGGCUGGGCUCUUAUUACUCUCACAGGCCGUGUUGAUGUGCCCUCACAUGUGCUAUCAGGGAUGGCUGGUGCACCAGCUCUGUUACUCCUCACCCCAUAGGGCAGCCCGGGAGGAAGCGAGACUGGGCCCCACCAGCAGGUCAAGUCAGCUUCAAAGGCUGGUACCAGGAAGCCAGACGGUCAGGGGAAAGAUGACAUUCCCUGGGUAGAUAUGACAAACAGCCUUACGAAUUCCAGGGUAAAGAAAAGGGGCCCUCUCAAAGGGAAGAGCACAGUGACCAAGCUGAGGUCAAGACCUAGAUGUCAGACAGACUGCAGCCACCCUGGGCCAAUCUGCAAAGAGUUCGAUAAGGAGACAAUACUCUAUUCUCAGCUAUCCUGGAGGGUGGAUGGCCCCAGGCUCCGGGAAGGAGUCCUCUGGGAUACAGGAGGAUUGAGCCACCAAUCAAAGCCAGCAAUUCAAACUCGGAAGAGAAGUGCAAAGGCCAAGAUAAGGGGAGGGAGAGCUUCUGCAUGGUCAGUAAGUCAUGUCUGUAACACCUGCCGAAGAAAACCAGGGUCAUUCAGGAGUUAAAGUGGAGAAGACAAAUUUUAUUUGGGACCAUUGCAAUAAGGGGAGAGAGGCGCCAGUAAAGAACUGGGCUCUGUUCUGAGUACCUGGAUAAGUGCAGAUGUAUAGCCAAGGAGCAGGGGGUAGGAGAUGGAAAAUUGCUAAGAUGAGACAUCAAAUCUGUGGGGAAUCCUGGCUGAACCAACCAAACAGGAUUCCUGCUGAAGGCAGUCCAGGGUGAUCAGAUACCAAGGGUGAAGAGUCAAGCAUUUUGAUCAGAUACAGACGGUGACCAGGUAACAACGAUGGGAGAUUCUUACUCAACUGCCUUGACAGCAUUAUUUGCUGAAACUGGAUUUUACAAGGAAGGAGACACAGGCCUAGGAGUAGAUUCAGAAGCCUGACUAAAGUUUGGCCAAGCAAAGAAUCUUUGUCACACCCCAGGAAGUCUCUCCUUGGAUCUGGAUAGUUCAGAAGUAGAAGAAAAAGGAAACUCUUUCCCCUGACCCAGACUCAGGCAAGUCUAACGUGCACCUCCUGGAGCCAUAAAGGAAGCAGGGACUGAGGAGCUGAGAAGGGGAGAGGCUCCCUCCUCUGGACGCUGGCCUGUGUCUAAGCCCGCCUGUAAGAAAGGUGCUAGGAUCACGAAGGAAGCCAGCCUAUCACCUGGCUGGGUGAGAAGAUGGAGAAUACAGAGGCAGAGAAAGCCCUCCUAGCAGCCUGCAGAGCAGGAGUUGUUAUGGAGACCGUUCUAACUGCUCUGCUGUGACAAGGAGUAAUUUCAUGUCAAGAGCACGCCCUGGAAUGGAAGGCAGGGCUGUGGCUCAGAGGACGCGGCUCCCAGUGGAAAGAUGGAGGUGGUGAGCCGUGGCGAACGCUCUCUGCCUGAUUUUGGGAGUCCUCCCUGUGUAGCUCCUCAUGACCAAAAAAGCAAACACUAGCGGAACUUGGAGCAUUUUGGUGAAAAUCAGUAGUUUCCAACCGGAUGUGAUCAAAAAGAAGUUCCUACUUAAACAUUUAGCCUUAGAAGUAGAGUUUUUAAAACGAAGCCACAGUUAAUGUGCUGAUGAACUGAAGAUUGAACUUGAGCUUCACAUUCUGUCUUUGGCUGUGAACAAAUAACAAAUAAAUGCUCCCGUUGUAUGGGCUCAGCAUGUUCUUGGGAGACUGCUUUAAAUCUUAUUAUUUUAUAGUCUUCUGCAA